rnacentral:rRNA from 1 species
AGUGAACGCUGGCGGUAGGCCUAACACAUGCAAGUCGAACGGCAGCACAGUAAGAGCUUGCUCUUACGGGUGGCGAGUGGCGGACGGGUGAGGAAUACAUCGGAAUCUACUUUUUCGUGGGGGAUAACGUAGGGAAACUUACGCUAAUACCGCAUACGACCUACGGGUGAAAGUAGGGGAUCUUCGGACCUUUCGCGAUUGAAUGAGCCGAUGUCGGAUUAGCUAGUUGGCGGGGUAAAGGCCCACCAAGGCGACGAUCCGUAGCUGGUCUGAGAGGAUGAUCAGCCACACUGGAACUGAGACACGGUCCAGACUCCUACGGGAGGCAGCAGUGGGGAAUAUUGGACAAUGGGCGCAAGCCUGAUCCAGCCAUACCGCGUGGGUGAAGAAGGCCUUCGGGUUGUAAAGCCCUUUUGUUGGGAAAGAAAAGCAGCAGGUUAAUCCCCCGCUGUUCUGACGGUACCCAAAGAAUAAGCACCGGCUAACUUCGUG